rnacentral:rRNA from 1 species
ACGGUCCAGACUCCUACGGGAGGCAGCAGUGGGGAAUUUUGGACAAUGGGCGCAAGCCUGAUCCAGCAAUGCCGCGUGAGUGAAGAAGGCCUUCGGGUUGUAAAGCUCUUUUGUCAGGGAAGAAACGGUAUGGGCUAAUAUCCCGUACUAAUGACGGUACCUGAAGAAUAAGCACCGGCUAACUACGUGCCAGCAGCCGCGGUAAUACGUAGGGUGCAAGCGUUAAUCGGAAUUACUGGGCGUAAAGCGUGCGCAGGCGGUUUUGUAAGUCUGUCGUGAAAUCCCCGGGCUCAACCUGGGAAUUGCGAUGGAGACUGCAAGGUUAGAAUCUGGCAGAGGGGGGUAGAAUUCCACGUGUAGCAGUGAAAUGCGUAGAGAUGUGGAGGAACACCGAUGGCGAAGGCAGCCCCCUGGGUCAAGAUUGACGCUCAUGCACGAAAGCGUGGGGAGCAAACAGGAUUAGAUACCCUGGUAGUCCACGCCCUAAACGAUGUCUACUAGUUGUCGGGUUUUAAUUAACUUGGUAACGCAGCUAACGCGUGAAGUAGACCGCCUGGGGAGUACGGUCGCAAGAUUAAAACUCAAAGGAAUUGACGGAA